rnacentral:tRNA from 1 species
GGUAAAAUGGCUGAAAUAGGCAUUAGACUGUAAAUCUAAAUAUAAAGGUGGAAAUCCUUUUUUUACCA